rnacentral:rRNA from 1 species
AUGGCGAGCCGUCGGACAAGAGCAGCAACCUCGUCGAUGUUCACGUCCCCGGCGAGAAGCGCUUGGGUUCUCCAUUCAUCAAGGGUUGAGCUCCACGGCAAAGAGACGCUGGAGAUCGUCUGCACCAGUGAACCAGACAAGGCCGACGAGGUGAUGAGCAGGCUCAGGAUUAAGGCGGCGGCUUGCCCAAGCGCCUCAAAGACUUCCUGCAGGAGGAGAAAUUGUACACAUUUGUCGGUUUCAGCAUUGGAGGUGACAAGCGGAUGCUGA